UACGUAGGGGGCAAGCGUUGUCCGGAUUCAUUGGGCGUAAAGAGCGUGUAGGCGGCCAAACAGGUCCGUUGUGAAAACUGGAGGCUCAACCUCCAGACGUCGACGGAAACCGUGUGCCUAGAGUCCGGAAGAGGAGAGUGGAAUUCCUGGUGUAGCGGUGAAAUGCGCAGAUAUCAGGAAGAACACCAAUGGCGAAGGCAGCUCUCUGGGACGGUACUGACGCUGAGACGCGAAAGCGUGGGGAGCGAACAGG
rnacentral:rRNA from 1 species